AAGAAUAGCUUGAAGACAGUUAAAGCUUCACAUGAUAAAGGUGAACCAAGAACUCCAAACAUGUUGGAAGACUCUUUGUGUACUGUCCAUGAGCAAUCUUCGAAACUUCAAAUGACAAAGAAGUGUUAUGUCAGUUUGAAAAAGUUUUCAAUAUCAGAACU